rnacentral:rRNA from 1 species
GAUGAACGCUGGCGGCGUGCCUAAUACAUGCAAGUCGAGCGAACAGACGAGGAGCUUGCUCCUCUGACGUUAGCGGCUGACGGGUGAGUAACACGUGGAUAACCUACCUAUUAGACUGGGAUAACUUCGGGAAACCGGAUCUAAUACCGGAUAAUAUAUUGAACCGCAUGGUUCAAUAGUGAAUGACGGUUUUUCUGUCUCUUAUAGAUGGAUCCGCGCCGCAUUAGCUAGUUGGUAAGGUAACGGCUUACCAAGGCAACGAUGCGUAGCCGACCUGAGAGGGUGAUCGGCAACACUGGAACUGAGAAACGGUCCAGACACCUACGGGAGGCAGCAGUAGGGAAUAUUCCGCAAUGGGCGAAAGCCUGACGGAGCAAAGCCGCGUGAGUGAUGAAGGUCUUCGGAUCGUAAAACUCUGUUAUUAGGGAAGAAAAAAUGUGUAAGUAACUAUGCACGUAUUGACGGUACCUAAUCAGAAAGCCACGGCUAACUACGUG